GUGAGAAAGGCCUCUGAGAACUGGAACUCACGUUGGGCCUCAACUACAGAGGGAAGAAGAGGAGGGACACCAGAAGUAGCAUGAACAGUAUGUAUAAAGGUCUAAGAACAGGAAGUAAGCCUGUUCUGCCCAAAAUAGAGAGCCAGGAAAUGGUAUGGGCACACGGUGCUCCCAGGGGGCUGUAACUGACUGUGUAGCCUGCCUUUCCUCCUGUGGGAAGCUCUCUUGAGAGCACUUCAGGAUGCAAGACAUCGGGCAACCAAGCAGCUGUGCUUCACAGUUGGACCACACCAAGCUUCUGCCUAUGCAGCCAAUACUAUCAGGGCAGCCCCACCAUCCACCAAGCGCCCUCAGUGAUCUACUGGUGCCACAUCAGGCCCCACCUCUCCACAUCUCCACACUGGAGCCCAAGCUUCCAAUGCCUUGGAAGACUCACUAAAACAAUAUCCAAACCAUGGCAUAUCUCUAGAAAAAUCUCUUCUUGUGGGCUGUGCCAUCAAUUGACUACCUAAGAGAAGUAGGACUUGCUUUCUGUUUCACCUAAAAGCCCCAUUCUUCACUCCACUGGAGACCCUUUUUCUGGAAUUCACGUGUCCUCCCUGGUCAGUAGCAAAGAUCAAACGCCGAAUCAUCAGCCAGUCCUUCUAUUAAUUGAUGUUAUAAUCAGGAAAAGCAUUACAGGGAGGGGACAGCAAAUUUCCCGUGAAAAGGAGAUGGCUGGGUUGCUGACACAGGCUACAUCAUUGCAGAACCCUGAGAGCAGGGAAGAUGCAGACAGAAUCUGAAUCAUCCAACAUGAUGGUUAUAUUUCCUACCUCUCCCUCUCCCAUCCCUCUUCUUGAGGAAUUCAGGAGUCACACACAGAACUUCUCAUUUGGUGUCUCACAAUCAAGCCAGGGUCUCAGGUCAGAAGGAAUCAUAGUGGCUCCAGUGACACCCUGCUCAGCAGCUCUGGGCCCUCAGGCACCUUCCCAUCCCCAAGAUGCUUGGUGUCUGUAAGAAGCUUUCAGACCACAGUUAAAGGAACGGAGUAUGGAGCCUGUCCUUCAGAAAAUCAACUCGUGGAAGUAACCAAAGUUCCUGUGGGUAUUGGCUGCAAAAGUGGGUCACUAUGCAGUGGGUGGCUAAAAAAAGGAAAGAUCCAUUUCAGGAACCUAGAGUCGGUUGUUGCUUUGGAACUGAAUAUCUCCUGGGGAAGACCUGGAAAACUCACGCAGGCUGAUGGGGCCAUAGGACUCCAUACAUGAACUAAUCAGCCAAAAACAAACAAACAAAAAACAAACCUGGCAGAAAUCAAGAAAGCCUGAAAGACCCCUCUACCUACCCUACUACCAUGGCCUCCACUGAGUUUUUGCCUGGAGCCAUGCCUGAGAGCCAAGGCUGGAAGUGUUUGAGAUGGGCAUGAUGGAACUGUAUGGACUUCUGUUUUCUGGGUUGCUUCCUUCCAAACUGCUCCAUUUCCCAUGAAGUGGGACACACCAUGGAGAGCUAACACUAAGUUCCAAGAAAGACAAUAUGUGACUCAUAGGAGGAAGGAUGUACUCUUGGGCCCUUCUCUCUAAGAGGUAUUUAGAGAUAGAACCCAGCAAGUAAGACCCAUGUUAUCCUCUCAAUAGAACUAAUCAUCAGCCUUAUAAAGUCUUGUUAUCUGCCAUGGCUUGAUUAUGAGACCCACAUUUUGGAUGCUUGGUCCCAACCUGGUGGUACUAUUUUGGAAGGUUCUCAAGAUUUUGAGAGGGGGAAGAAGUGGGCCACUUCCUAGGGAGGUGGGUCUUAGUGGUCUAUCAUCCCUAGCCUGUCUUGCACUCUGAAUAGCCAUUCUCCACCAUGCUUUCAUGCCUUCUUUUCAACUGCAUGGGGUCCAAGCAACCAUAGAAUUAGCAUUCUGAAUCUGUGAGCCAGAGCAUAUUUUUUCCUCCCUUAAAUUAUUUUUUGGCUGUCAUGACACAAAACCAACCACCGUGGUUUGAUGGAAAAUAUCCUCCAUAGGUUCAUGAAUUUGAACAAUUGGUUGCCAGUUGGUGGCGCUGUUUGGAGAGGCUGUAAAGCCUUUAGGAGAUGGAGCCUUGAAGGAGGAAGUCAGUCACUGAAGCAGGCUCCGGGAGUUCCUAUCCUUGGCCCACUUCAGUUCCGUUUCUUCUUUCUGUUAGCUGUUCUUCAAUGUGUGAUAGAUAUCCAAGAUGUGCAAGCUAAGCUUCAUGUUCCAGCCACCAACUGCCAUGCCUCUGCUGCCAUUACAGACUCCUACCCCUGGAACUGUAGCCAAAAUAAACACCUCCAUAAUUUGCUCCUGGCCACAGUAUUUUAUUACAGCAACAGAAAAGCAAUUAAGACAGUAAAUAAAAAUAAAAAAGUAUAAAUAAAAAAAAACUGGAUCUAAAAGUGGAGUUAUUAUAACCACACCUAACAUUGCAGUUUUUAAGCCUUUGGAAUUAGUUUUCCAAAAACUCUU
rnacentral:lncRNA from 1 species